rnacentral:rRNA from 1 species
CAGUCGCCGCGGGAAUACGAAGGGUGCAAGCGUUAAUCGGAAUUACUGGGCGUAAAGCGUGCGUAGGCGGUGAGUUAAGUCUGCUGUGAAAUCCCCGGGCUCAACCUGGGAAUGGCAGUGGAUACUGGCUCGCUAGAGUGUGUCAGAGGAUGGUGGAAUUCCCGGUGUAGCGGUGAAAUGCGUAGAGAUCGGGAGGAAUAUCAGUGGCGAAGGCGGCCAUCUGGGACAACACUGACGCUGAGGCACGAAAGCGUGGGGAGCAAACAGGAUUAGAUACCCGGGUAGUCCCUGUCUCUUAUAC